rnacentral:rRNA from 1 species
UACGAAGGGGGCAAGCGUUGUCCGGAUUUAUUGGGCGUAAAGAGCGUGUAGGCGGUUUGGUAGGUCCGCUGUGAAAACUCGAGGCUCAACCUCGAGACGCCGGUGGAAACCAUCAGACUAGAGUCCGGAAGAGGAGAGUGGAAUUCCUGGUGUAGCGGUGAAAUGCGCAGAUAUCAGGAAGAACACCGGUGGCGAAGGCGGUCUGCUGGGGUAAUGCUGACACUGAUGCGCGACAGCGUGGGGAGCAAACAGG